AACGAACGCUGGCGGCAGGCUUAACACAUGCAAGUCGAGCGCCCCGCAAGGGGAGCGGCAGACGGGUGAGUAACGCGUGGGAAUCUACCGUACCCUACGGAACAACAGUUGGAAACGACUGCUAAUACCGUAUACGCCCUACGGGGGAAAGAUUUAUCGGGGUAUGAUGAGCCCGCGUUGGAUUAGUUAGUUGGGGGGGU
rnacentral:rRNA from 1 species